rnacentral:rRNA from 1 species
GACGAACGCUGGAGGCGUGCUUAACACAUGCAAGUCGAACGAUGAAAUGGAGCUUGCUCCAUGGAUUAGUGGCGAACGGGUGAGUAACACGUGAAUAACCUGCCCUUAAUUUUGGAAUAACCCAGGGAAACCUGGGCUAAUACCGGAUAAGUAAACCUGUGGCAUCACAUGGUUUUGGAAAGUUUUUCGAUUAAGGAUGGAUUCGCGGCCUAUCAGCUUGUUGGUGAGGUAAUGGCUCACCAAGGCGACGACGGGUAGCCGGCCGGAGAGGGUGGACGGCCACACUGGGACUGGGACACGGCCCAGACUCCUACGGGAGGCAGCAGUGGGGAAUAUUGCGCAAUGGACGAAAGUCUGACGCAGCGACGCCUCGUGAGGGACGAAGGUCUUCGGAUUGUAAACCUCUUUCAGCAGGGACGAGGCGAAAGUGACGGUACCUGCAGAAGAAGCACCGGCUAACUAUGUGCCAGCCGCCGCCGUAA